rnacentral:lncRNA from 1 species
CACGAAGCAGUGAGGCGCAAAGGUUAGUUAGACAAAAUUUUUUUUAUCACAUAAAACAUUUCCAAAUUUCAAAAGUUUUUCUAUCUUUCAUUUAAAAUAAAACUGAUAUCUUUUGUUUAAAUACAGAGGGACAGGAAAAGGCUCACACAGAGCAGUUUGCACUUUUGUCUUCAGGCAGGAGAGUGGAAUGUAAGAAACACAGUUUCAAGUCUCUAUGUACCAUUCCCAAACGAAUACCCGAAGAGCGGAGUAUUUGAAAAAAAAACAGAAAAUCAAACUCCUAGAUCACCUGACAGAAAAAUGAGGGAACCAGAGAUUGGAGGAAGCAACGUUCUGGUGGGAUAAGGUGGGAGCUGCAGAUGGGACUCUCUAAUGCCUGAACUGAAUAGAAUGCAUCCUGCAAUGUUAAAAAUUUAAAAUAAAUAUUUUACAUAAAAUUCCAAGCUGUAAAAUAUGUUCUGAUAAACAAUGUAAUGGUUGCAGAAUUCUAACAUCGUAGUGAAAUGAUAGGAACUAUAACUUCAGCUACGUGCUCUACCUGCUGCAGCUAAGGAGAAGAUUUUGUUUUCUUCAGUUAUGCCUUUAUAGUUUGAAGCCUUGGAUUUAGAAUGCACAUACUUAUUAUUUAAUUGGCUUAUUUACAAUCUUAGCAACCCCUAGCUCCCAUAUUUUAAGGAAGAAAUAGAAGGAAUUGUUAUGAAUAUGAAAAAGGAAUCCCACAUUUUAAAGAAUCUGCAAACCUAAUUUAAAACCAAAGUCCAGAACCAUUAUAAAAAAAAACAUAGACUUUUGAAGCAUUGUGCUGUGAAUUUGGAAUUAAUGUUUUUACAAGUACUAAGUUCAUAAAAAUCCUGUGUAUGUUUCACAGCAAUCGAAAAGCAAAUGUCUCUAGAUGAUGUAAAAAAAAGUUGUAUUUCAUAAGUUUUGUUGUAUAAAUACUUGUUUUAAUUUUAGUAUUUCAAAUUGUAUUUUCACUUUAAUAAUUUAUAACAAUCAAUCUAGUUUUUAAUCAGCUGCUAUUGCAAGCUGUCAUGGUUCAGUGAUGUC